rnacentral:lncRNA from 1 species
UCAAGGUUCUGUAUUUAUAAUAGUAAGCGACAUUCUCCUAGUGGGACUCAACUAGCUGGAUGUCCUUAUCUGUUGGAGUCCUGAAUAGUUAAGGAGUUGAUCAAAUUCCAUAAUUAUAUGUGGGAUAGAAUCCUUGCAGGAGUCAAAUAUAUGGUUGAGUUAGAGUCCUAAUUGCGUAGGAAUUCUAAAGGGUCAACAAUCGUAGGUUGUAAGGGGAGCAUAUGUUCAAGGACAAGUAUUGCAAUAUGCGAAGCAGCCAGGCGGGAUGUGGUCAACCCUAAAAUAGGAAAAGGCGGUAAAAAAUCGUAGGGGGUGGAUGUAGGACACGUGGCCAGAUCUGAGGGUCGGGGUAGUGACCUUUGGACUACCCGCUCCUGUUGCUUAUAAAUACUCUCUCCACAUUUCAUUUUUCACUUUUUACUCUCAGUAAACUUCUCUUGCUAAUCGUCGGGAUCAGAACUUUGAGUUUUUAGGCGUCGACUUUAAGGUAAGACCUCGAGUUUUUAAGUUAUUCUUUAGGCACUUUUUUACCUAAGUCAGGAUGUCUAGCAAUAAUAGUACUGAGUCUUCGUCCACCUUCUCGAGGAGUACUCCCAAGGACAUAGUAUGCUCGAUCAUACCUAUGGCCGUCCCAAUUAAUGCCCAACCUCGGGCACAAAGUAUCCCGACCCCCUUUAGGUACCUCGAGGUUCCUUUUAAAUUUAAAGAGCAUCUAGCAAUAUCGACGGCUAGGGAGCAUGGGCUCAUGCCAAAAUGUGAUAUUAGGACGCCAAGGGUAGAGGAUAGGAUGGUCUUUGCUCGAGAUGGAGAGUUUGUGAUUUUUAGGGACUCACUAAAGGGGGGAUUUAGAUGGCCUCUGCAUUCCUUUUUUAUGUCUUUAUUGGUCGAGCAUAACAUGAGCCUUGGACAGCUUGUGCCAAAGGGGUGGAGGAUGCUCACCUAUUUUUUUAUAGCUAGUAGAUACCUAGGAAUUAACCCAUACGUCGAUCUCUGUAGAAUGGUCUUCGACCUAAAACAGUUACCUUAACAUACCUGUUUUGCUUACCUUUCAUCCCGAGGAGGCUUUAGAUUGCCGAGGAUGCCCAGGUCAUUGAAAGGAUGGAAAAAAAAGUGGUUUUAUGUCGCACCUCAGGAUAGUGACCUUCCUUUUAGUCCUAGGUGGGUUUUGCCUGAUACUCCCAGGUUUUGUAAAGGCCAGGCCUAUUUUGAGUCUUUAGAAAGGCAUAGGAUGAUGUUAGAGAACCUCGAGCUUUUUGUAUAUGAUAUAGAUGACAUCCUCGGGGAUGACGUUCUCGAUCUCGCGGAUGUGAAAGGUACUGAAGGUAGGGAUCAUCUUUUUGCCUUCUUCCUUACUGAUCUGUCUUUGAACGUAUAAUUGUGCUCAUGUCAAUGACUUGCUUUUUGCAGAGAUGACUUUUGAUCCUUCAGCCCUCAAAUAGGCCGUGAACAAAAAGUCGAAAGCCCCUCAAGCUCGAGCUCCAUGUCAAAAGAGAGGGAAGAAGAGAGCUCGAGAUUCAGGCCCCGAGAAUAUUAGGAGUGGGCCAGGGAAACCUUCUGCCCGAGGACAAUCCCCGACCAUACAGGCCAAUGAGACUCCAACUGCCCCACCUCGAUCACGUCCUCAGCCAAGGUGUACCCCCGAGGUUGUUGACCUCGAGGAUGAGGUCCCACCUAUGCCCUCGUUCCAAAAUCAAGAUCCUGGUGUCCAGCAUCGUGGAAAAGUAUCCAAAGGACCUCGAUUUUGAUGAGGGUAUGAAUGCUCUUGAAUCUCUCACUCUGAAGGUAAGGUCGCUCAACUUACUUGGUGUAAUUUAUGGGUUUAUACGAUGUGAUUGCUUUAAGCUGGGGUUUAUAUGAUGCAGGCUCUGAGCAUUGCCCAAGGUCUUUCUCUGAAGGGGAAAGACGAGGCACAAAAAACUACUGAGCUCGAGGACACUUCUCAAGCACAUGAGAAGAGGAUAGCCGACUUGGAAGCUGAGCGCUUCCUUCUCCAGAGGGAGCUCGAGGACUCGAAGAACGACGUCUAGAGAGCUCGGGAAGAGACUGGAGCUGCCAUGGGCGAGGCCGAGGAUUUAAAGCUCGAGAUCGAGCGUUUGAAGAUUGAUUUCGAAACUCGCCUAGCUGAAGCUCGAGGGGUUACAAUCAAGGAUUUCAAAAUGUCCGAGGAGUUCAACUGGCUUAAGGGAAAGUACGCCAUGGGCUCAUACUUCCACGCUUUCAAAGAGGCUCGGGCAUUUUUGAGGUCAAAGCCUGACGUCAAACCCGAGGAUUUAAAGAACAUCCCUGAGAUUGCUGAUGACCUCGAGCUUUCAGAGUCUGAGGAAAUCGUCAAAGACCAUGAGGUCGAUAUUGACGGCAAGGAUGUGGUGGAAGAACAGGGGAGCACGACCUCGGGAGAAAGAGCCGAGGACCUAGAUUAGUUUAUGUUUUUUCUCAGACAUCCCCCUUUUUUUGUAUUUUGAACAAGUAUUCUGCUCGAUCUUAGAUAAUGUUCCAUUUAUGGUAUUUUGCUCAAUCAAGUAUUUUUCAUUUUACGCGAUUAUGUAUGGCUGAUGUCUCGAUCAUGACAAACUCAAAUAGCUCGACGUUAAGAUGGUUCAAUAACUUGACGCCUAAGAUGAAUUGACAACUCGACGCCUAGAUUAAUAAAAUAUCUUGAGGACUCAAUUUGUAAAAUCAUUUUUGAACAUCAAGUGUUGAACUCGAGCAUGUAGACAAGUUAUCCCGAGGACUCAAUUUGUAAAAUCAUUUUUGAACAUCAAGUGUUGAACUCGAGCAUGUAGACAAGUUAUCCCGAGGACUCAAUUGUAAAAUCAUUUUUGAACAUCAAGUGUUGAACUCGAGCAUGCAUGACGACGUAAUUGUACCGACCUAUAGCGUGUUCCCGAGGACUGUAAAUGGCCUUUUUAUAAGAUCUCUCAUACCAUUGAUCGGGCACUGUGUGAUCGGGAAUGUUACUUGACGUGCUUGUGUGGUACGAGGCUUUUUUGAUUGCUUACGCGGGGCAACGCUUUUUUUAUUGCUUGAGCAAGGCAAGGCUUGAGUUGCUUGCGCGGGGCAAGGCUUUUUGUAGCUAGAUCAUAUUUUGACGAAUUGCUUAAUUCUUAUUAUACUUUAAAAACAGACUUGGCACGCAGGCCUGACAACUAAAAACGUGAACCUUGGCCGCAGGCCUGACUACCGAAAAAUAAAACUUGGCACGCAGGCCUGACAAUUGAAAACAUGAACCUUGAUGCGCAAGCCUAACUACCAAAGAAAUAAAACUUGGCAAGCAGGCCUGACAAUUGAAAACGUGAACUUGAUGCGCAAGCCUCACUACGGAUAACUGGAAGACCAAGUUACUUGUAAUAUAUCUUUAAAUUCUCGGCGUUCCAUGGUCUGGGAAGCGGCCUUCCUGACGUAUCCCUUAAAUUGUAUGCGCCUCCUUGGAGUUGUCGUAUGACUUCGAAGGGCCCUUCCCAAACUGGUCCUAGCUUGCCCGAGGCAUGACCUGCUGCUUCAGCCCUUCUUAACACAAGGUCUCCGCCUCUAAAUCUCCGCGUCCUUACUUUUUUAUUGAAGUACUUUGCUGUUUUAUCCUGGUAGGAGGCCAUUUUUAAAGCUGCCCGAUCCCAAACUUCUUCCAAAAGGUCGAGAUGUUCAGUUGUGCACCCUACAUCUUUGGGCUCGAGCCUCCUUUGGCUGGGCAACCUGACUUCAACAGGUAUGGUGGCCUCAAUUCCAAAAGCCAACAUGAAGGGGGUUUCCCCUGUAGUAGUUUUGUGUGACGUUCUAUACGUCCAAAGUAUGGAAGGUAACUCGUCAGAGCAGGAACCUCUUGCAUCGCCGAUCCUUGUACGGAGGUCUUACAAUAUAAUCCGAUUGGUCACUUCAACGAGACCAUUACUUUGAGGAUGGAAAAUCGACGUCAAACGGUGAUCAACCCCUAGGUCGGUACAAAAUUUUUUAAAUUGUGCAUUGUCAAACUGCCUGCCAUUAUCAGUUAUGAGGACUUUUGGUAUCCCGAACCUGCAUAUGAUGGAUCUCCAAAUGAAACUUCUUAACUUUGGCUCUGAAAUUUUUGCUAAAGGCUCGGCCUCUACCCACUUAGUGAAAUACUCUACAGCCAUAGCCACAAACUUCAAUUGUCCCCUAUUUAUUGGAAAGGGACCAAGGAUGUCAAUUCCCCACUGCUCAAAUGAGGCUAUGCAACUAAUGCUAUUGAGGUCUUCUACGGGAGGGUGGAUGACAUUGCCAAAUCUUUGGCACUUGUCACACUUCUUGACAUAUUCGUGGGCGUCUUUCUUCAUGGUUGGCCAAUAAUAUCCAUACCUUAUGAACUUGAAGGCUAAAGCCCGUGCUUCUUGAUGGUUCCCACAUACACCUUAAUGAACCUCUUCUAGGGCCUGAGAUGAUUUGGAAGGCCUAAGGCAUCUGAGGUAUGGAAGUGUGAGGCUCCUGUGAAAUAAAAUACCUUCAAUCAUGCAAUACCUCGGAGCUUUGGACCGAAUGCUUCUCGCUGCCUGAGGAUCUGCUGGAAGAUUGCCAUGUUUUAUGAAGCCCACUAUUGGGUCCAUCCAUGAUGGCUUAUUAUCAAUAUCCAUGAUGCCUACGGUUUGAUUGAUGCUUGGCUCGGUUACAAUUCUGACGUGGACUGUCUUGUCAAGCCCAUCUAUUCCCUUGAACACCAAUCUUGACAAGGCAUCUGCCCUACAAUUCUUAGCCCGAGAAAUUUUUACAAUUUCACAACUCUUGAACUUUCUCUGGAGAUCAUGCACUUUCAAGCAGUAUAAGCUCAUCUUCUCAUUCUUUCUAUUGAACGUCCCUUCGAUUUGCUCAACCACCAACUGGGAAUCACUAUAAAUUUUGAUAUUUUCAAGCUCGAGAUUUAUGGCGAGUUCCAUAGCUAUGAUGACGGCCUCAUACUCAGCUUCAUUAUUGGUCGCCUCAAAUUCGAACCUUAGUGCACACUGAAUGUUUAUGAGCAUGUCCGGACUUAUGAUUAUGACCCCUGCGCUAGAGCCCAAGGAGUUCGAUACUCCAUCUACGAAAAUUUUCCACACGGUUAUGCUUGAACUCGAGCUACUAUCUGGCCCCCGAGGCCUUGGAGUGAGUUCUGCAAUGAAGUCAGCUAAGGCCUGAGCUUUGAUAGAUGGACGGGGCUUGAACUCUAUGUCAAAUUCUCCAAGUUCAAUUGCCCACUUUAGUAAUCUUCCUGAGACGUCUAGUUUCUAAAGAAUGUGUUUCAGAGGUUGAUUGGUAAGCACAACAAUAGGAUGUGACCGAAAAUAUUGCCGAAGUUUUCAUGCCGCUACUAUCAGUGCAAGGGCAAGUUGCUCUGCCAAAGUGUAUCUUGUUUCUGCAUCACUUUGCUUACGUAAUAAAUGGGUUGCUGGCCCCUGUUAACCUCUUUCACCAAUGUCUGCUUGAGCUCUUGAAAAGCCUUCUCACACUCCUCAUUCCAUUCAAAACAAUGGUUACCCGGGCUUUGAAGAAGGGGAAGCACCUGUCUGCUGCUCGGGACAUGAACCUGUUUAAGGUGGCUAUCCUGCCUAUCAACUUUUGAACCUCUUUCUUGGUCGUUGGUGCCAAAGCCUGAAUUUUGUCGGGGUUAGCCUCAAUCCCCCAAUGAGUGAUCGUGAAACCCAGAAACUUUCCUGAAGCUACGCCAAAUACACACUUCUCUGGGUUGAGCUUCAUCUUAUAUUUUCGUAGGGUGGCGAACACCUCCUCAAGAUCGGAUAUAUGUUCCUCCACCUUCUUACUUCUUACAACCAUGUCAUCCACAUAGGCCUUGAUGUUCUUCCCUAUCAAAUCGGCGAAGACUUUGUUGAUGAGCCUUUGAUAUGUUGCCCCAGCGUUUUUCAACCCAAAUAGCAUCACCCUAUAGCAAUACAUGGCUGAAUCAGCCAUGAAUGAAGUCUUCUCUUGGUCUUCUUUGGCUAUAAGGAUUUGAUGAUACCCUGAGAAUGCAUUUAAGAAGUUGUACAGCUUAUAUCCGGAUGUGUUGUCCACAAGAUUAUCGAUCCUAGGUAGCGGGUAGCUGUCCUUUGCGCAUGCCUUAUUCAGAUCUGUGAAGUCAAUGCAGAACCUCCACUUAUCGCUGGGCUUUUUCACCAUAACAACAUUAGUGAGCCAAUCGGGGUAUUGGACUUCCCUUAUGAACCCCGCUCCCAACAAUUUGCUGACUUCUUCCUGAAUGACCACAUGUCUUUCCAGCGCAUUGUCUCUUCCUUUGCUUAACAGGUUUGGCCCCUGGGCUGAUAUUAAGUUUAUGGACAGCUAUUUCUGGGUCUAUCCCUGUCAUAUCCCCCACCUUCCAUGCAAAAACAUCAAUGUUGCGGGACAGACAACUGAUGACUUCCUCCUGGAGGUUGGCCUUCAGAUCCCGACCAAUAGUAACAACUUUUUCGUGCUCGAGCUCGACCACUUCCAAUUCCUCAACGGGGGCCAAUCUACCCCUUGCCUCGAGCUCGGGCUCGAGGUCUACCAGUUGCAUGACGUCAGCACUCAUGCCUCGGAUGCUUGUAACAUAGCACUGUCUAGCCGCCGUUUGGUCUCCUCAAACUACUCCGAUGCCAUGACCUGUGGGGAACUUCAUGGCGAGGUGGAAAGUUGACACAAUAGCCUGGAUCUUGUUCAGUGGGGGUCUUCCCAGAAUGAUGUUGUAGGCCAUUGGGGUGUUAACCACUUGGAAUGGUGUGAUUUCCGUCACUUGUGUACUGCCAACUCCUAAUGUAAGCGGGAGCUCGACGAUGCCUUCAGGGAUAAUGAUUCCACCACCAAAUCCUUAUAGGGGAGUUUUUACUGUUUUGAGCUACUUGGGAGAGAUUCCCAUUUUGGUGAAAGCCUCCUGCGACAGUAUGUUCGUGGCACUCCCAUUAUCAAUCAGAAUCCUCCUUACUUCGAAGUUAGCCACAACCGCAGAAACGACCAAGGCAUUGUCAUGAGGAUAUGAUAUUCUUUCCAAAUCUCUUGCACCAAAAGUGAUGUCUUUAACUUCAUCACUGGAUUCUCUUGGGGUAUGAACAUGUUGGCGGGCAUACUGCUUCCGCCCACUACUUGUGUCUCCACCGGAUGCUAUGCCCCCAACGAUAAUAUUAAUGGUUCCAGCAGUGGGUUGAGCACUGCUUCCAGCCCUAAGCUCUUUCCGAUUGUCCCGAUCAUUCCUUGGCCGUUUAUCAUGACCAAUGUAAUUCUUUAAAAAUCCUCUUUUGAUAAGGGCUUCAAUUUCCCGCUGUAAAGAAUGACAGUCCUCUGUAGUAUGCCCAUGAUCCCGGUGAAAUUCGCAAUACUUGCUCCUAUCUCUUGUGUCAGGGGGCGACUUCAUCCUUGAAGGCCACUUUAAUUCUUUCAUAUCCUUAAACUCCAUCAAAAUGUUUGUCUUAGAGGUGUUCAACCGAGUGAGAGGUGCUGAUGGCGCCUCGUUCCUGUGCUUAUCCCGAGGAACCUCAUGCCUAGGGACGGGAUCAUGUUGCCUUUUGUUCUAUGUCUUUUCAUGAGAAGGACCAGGUCUCCUUGGAUUUAGUGUUUCCUCCAUAUUGAAGUAUUUUUCAGCUCGGGUGAGGAGCUCAGUCACUGUCUGCGGCAGGGUCUUUGAUAAAGACAUCUUGAAAGCCUCACAUCUUACGGCAUAAGUAAGGGCGAAGACAGCUGCUGUGAUGUGGAGGUCGGGUAUUUGAAGCCUUUCCUUGUUGAACCUUAUCAUAAAUCCUCGCAGGGUUUCGGUUGGUCCCUGCGAAGUUGCAUGAGAUAGGCCACGAUCUUCCUGAUUCGCUUGCUACUUGCAAAGAAGGCUGAGAACUUAUCAGCCAAAUCUGAGAAUGAGGCUAUGGAGUUGGGCUCCAAUGUCGAGAACCAAUCCCUAGUAGCAUUAGUUAGCGUUUGUGGAAAGGGUUUGCACGUAACCUAAUCCGGUGCAACUUGCAAGUUCAUGACAUCAGUGUAUACAUUGAGAUGGUUGAUGGGGUCGGUCAUCCAAUCAUACUCUUUAAUGCGAGGAUACUUGAAUCUGUCGGGCAAGGGAUAUGUCAAUAUCUCUGGCAUGAAUGGAGUGUUAGGGGUGAAACCUGUUAACCCCCGAGCAUUACGUUGCAGGCUAGCUGUAAUUCCUUCUUGAAUGAUCCGGGCAAUUUCACCGGAAUCUAUGGCGACCGAUCUCGAGCCCGAGGCCAUAUUAUGAAUGCUCGAUGUUCCAACUCCGCCAUUUGCUGGGUUUGGUGGUCGUGCUCGAGCAUUGGCCAUAAAACCGCCAUGCUCCGCCUGCGCUGGCAACGGAUGUGAAUUUCUUUGACUUAAAAGUUGCGUGAGCGUGGCCACCUGCUGACGAAGCUCUUCAAAGGCUUCGAUUGUAAUGACUGCUGGCAGAGGUGUGGGCACUCCCGAGGAUUCUUCAUGAGGAGUCGGUUGAUCUUCGGCAGGAUGAGGGAUGGGAGCGGAUGAGCUUGCAGGAGGAAGACCUACUCACGUGUUAACCAUGGCUUUUGGUAGCGAUUCCCACAGACGGCGCCAAGAUGAUUCAGGUUGAUCACGAUCGUAGUCUUCCGAUACCUGAAACAAAGGCAACGAGGUGUGUUCUCGUCACCCCUCUGAUACUUAAGUCAGAAAGGGAAUUAUAUGCGUGAGACUAUUUAUUAGAGAAUAAUGAAAAACGUACCUGAAUAAUGGCUCAAGGUUCUAUAUUUAUAGUAGUAAGUGACAUUCUCCUAGUGGGACUCAACUAGCUGGAUGUCCUUAUCUGUUGGAGUCCUGAAUAGUUAAGGAGUUGGUCAAAUUCCAUAAUUAUAUGUGGGAUAGAAUCCUUGCAGGAGUCAUAUAUAUGGUUGAGUUAGAAUCCUAAUUGCGUAGGAAUUCUAAAGGGUCAACAAUCGUAGGUUGUGAGGGGAGCAUAUGCUCGAG